rnacentral:lncRNA from 1 species
UUGACCCGCGCUGCGCGCGGGAGAUUUAUAAAAUUUUUAUUUUAUUUUUUGUUAUAUUAUAAUUUUUCGUUGUUUUUUUUUUGUUUUGCAUUGUUUGUUUUGUUGGCUUGUUACUGUUGUUAGUUUUUGUUAUUCUAUUUUUCAUAUCGAUUAUCUUUUCAAUUUUAUAGUAAUUUAGUAUUUGAAAUGUUUAUCAUCAUUUU